rnacentral:lncRNA from 1 species
UUAGAAACCCUAGCUGCCGGAACAUACUCCUGUCAUCUCCCCCUCUCAACUCGACCAACCAUCCGAAAUACCACACCGAUGUUGACAUCAUUUCCGGCGAAUCGUUCUGGAAAACACGACUCUCCUCCGCAUGCGAUAACGUUUCUACUUGACAAGUCCUUAUUCAGAAGAAUCUUCUGGAUCAACACUAAGUAGCUAAAAAAGCUUAUGGGUAACGGCUGCGUAUGAAGAUUACACUGGGGAUUUACAUAUUCAAGGACACAUUGAGGGAUGGUCAUAGAUGGGUUGGAGGUUGCUAAAGUAAUUCCAAUUGACCAUCCAAGAAUAAGACUAAGCUCAUGCACUGUCUGCAAAGUGGUUGUGGCACUUUGUGUUGCUCACCUACAAAUGCUUCAGCCGUUGAGUUGGAUGCACAGGCAAGAGCCGUGUAAGGAACAUUAUAUCUUAGAAGAUUAUACUGGGGAUUUCCAUAUUCAAACACACAUAGUGGCCGAGAUGGUUUGCUUAGCUCAUCGAAGAGACGGGGUUCUGGUCCGCAGUAAACUGUUUCCCGAGCUAGUAAGUAAAAGUCAGGUAGACCAGCUUCGGUCGUAAACUCAAAACUAGGGUCAAAAUUAGCUAGCAAGUAAAACUCAGGUAGACCAGCUUCGGAAAUAUAUAAUUGCUUACUUGCUAACACGAGGCGGACUUCCGUAAAGAUUACUGACAGCAAUGCGAUUGAACUCAUUCACUGUCUGCAAAGUGAUUGUAGCGUCUUUUGUAGCUCACCCACAAAUGUUGCACGCGUUGAUUUGGAUGCUCAGGUAGCUUAAGAGAUUCUAUAUUGCUAUGGCAAAACACAAUGUUACGAAGUGGUCAACUCACUGGAAGGAGUGAGUCAAUGGGGGGAGAGACGGUUUGUUCAACAAGCUUGAACAAUCUUCCUUCUCGUAAUUGUCUUGCUACAAAUGCAACCAUGUUGAUUGAGGCCCGAUACUACGGUUUUUGUAUGGAGUCAGAUGCAACCAACUCUGCAAAGAAGCCGAGAGGAAAGACAUGGUGAAUUGGUACAGGUGUGAUUGUCUGGGGCCCAUUUUUCCAUCUCGAUACCAUUGUGUCAAAUGCCAUGAAACAUUCUUCACGAGUGUUGAAUUUGAACACCACAAGAAUUCUACUUGUAAAAUCAAACAUGAGGUUGGUAGCAGCUUUACUGUCACCGAGUCAUUGUCAGAGCCACUUUGGGGGAACACUCAUCAUAUGAUAAGGCGGCUGAUGAUGGACUUAUUGGAUAUGGAAGCUGCAUUACCUGAUGGAGCAAGAAGACGUUCAAUGGAAAGCCCCAAAUGGAGGUCUGCGUGGUGUGUGUUUGUUAAAUCUGCUACAAUAAUAUACGAGGUAUGAUGUGUUCUUGGUUAGAGGUAUAUUAGAUAAAUUACAUAAAUCGUUUGUUGUCUGCUAAACUAGCGGAAGUCGUCCAUCAAAGAAACUAUAUAAGACCAAGAAAUUCCUGAUUACAAGAACAUCAAAGUAAUCGCAUCACCCGUUCCAAUAAAGCCAUGCCAUCAUGAAGAUCGUGAACCAUCACUUAUACAUUUUUCUCAAUUGCUGGCAAGAGCUGUGUAAGCAACAUUUUAUCUAUGAAGAUUAUACUGGGGAUUUCCAUAUUCAGACACACAUAGUGGCCGAGAUGGUUUACUUAGCUCAUCGAAGAGAGUGUGUUCGAUAAGCAAUCAUUCCCUCAAGGAGGUUUACUUAGCUCAAGGCUGUCUUCUCAUGCAGUAGGCAACCUUCGUGAGGUGCAUGAUUUUUUCUGUUGUUUCAAAGACGUUAAGUUAUUGGAUGGGAAGAGCAAAUUACAUUUGAAAAGCUUGAACAAGAGCUUCAAUGUCCUUUUGCAAGACGGGGUUGCAAAAUCACCAAUCCUUGGUAAUUCUAGAGAUGUACAAAAGAAUAUUUGAAGUUACAGUUA